AAUAGUACGUGAAACCGUUUAGAGGUAAACUAAAAGAGUCGUAAAGUGGUCUGGUUAGAUUCAACUUGUCGAACGUCGGUCGACGAUCAGAUGCCUAACGCACUGGCUCUGUCGCCGGCCGGCGCCGAUAGGCGCACUUCUUUCCAGACAGCGUCACGACCGAUUCGGGCCUGGUCUUAAGCCGGGUUGGAAGGUGGCUCCGUUCUCCGGCGGAGAGUUAUAGCCUACCCUGGCGUCGUCCAGGCUCGGAUCGAGGAAUGGCCGUACCCGCUUAAGCACGGGCCCUCGUCCUGCGUUCGUCGUUCGACUGGGCUGGACUGUUACAGUGCUGUCCGACUGCGAUGGGUACGGGCGGGAGUGCUCCCGGGUACACACGGUCAGUGUCGAGUGGUCGGCAAUCUUUUAGACCC
rnacentral:rRNA from 1 species